UGGGGAAUUUUGGACAAUGGGGGAAACCCUGAUCCAGCCAUCCCGCGUGUGCGAUGAAGGCCUUCGGGUUGUAAAGCACUUUUGGCAGGAAAGAAACGUCAUGGGUUAAUACCCCGUGAAACUGACGGUACCUGCAGAAUAAGCACCGGCUAACUACGUGCCAGCAGCCGCGGUAAUACGUAGGGUGCAAGCGUUAAUCGGAAUUACUGGGCGUAAAGCGUGCGCAGGCGGUUCGGAAAGAAAGAUGUGAAAUCCCAGAGCUCAACUUUGGCACUGCAUUUUUAGCUACCGGGCUAGAGUGUGUCAGAGGGAGGUAGAAUUCCGCGUGUAGCAGUGAAAUGCGUAGAUAUGCGGGGGAACACCGAUGGCGAACGCAGCCUCCUGGGAUAACACUGACGCUCCUGCACGAAAGCGUGGGGAGCAAACAGG
rnacentral:rRNA from 1 species